rnacentral:sRNA from 1 species
UUAAUAAUGGAAUGGUGCAGUAUCCUAGUCAGUCCCCCUAUUUUGAAGGCGGGCCUAAAAAUCUGCCAAAGGGCAUAUCGAUGAAGUUCCUUGUGUCGGCUUGAGGCGCCCAGCCUUGGGUCGAUGCUGGGGGUUAAGGUUUAUGGGCGAUCCACAAAGGCAUGUGGGCGUUGACCCAUUUACCGCGGAGGCCCAUCUCUGUCACGGUCUACCGAUACGGAGGCGUGAUGGAAUGGGGUAUGAACCUGUCGAAGGAUUAAGUUCUUUCAUAAAAAGACAGCGUAGCCUGCCUUGAGUGAUUGCCGAGGGGAUUAAAGUUUUUAAAAUAAUAAGUAGGUGGCCAAUACUUCAUUAUUUUGUAGCGCUUUAUGAAAUCGGUGUUGCAAAAGAGGCUAGAAAUAGGUUAAAGACUGUUAGAGGAAAGCUCCUAGGCUGUUCAUGUUGACAUUUAUAAGGGAUUAUAGUGCGGACUAAGUGGUAAUCCAGUCUAACUUUUGGCGACAAGUUAAGAUGGGUUUAAAAGGGAACUGCCUUGGUGGCGACACUAGGUAUCCAUCUGGGAAAACCUACUGGACCUAAGCCGCAGUCUUAACUUUAUAAAUGACCAUUCCUUCUAU